rnacentral:rRNA from 1 species
GUGGGGAAUUUUGGACAAUGGGGGCAACCCUGAUCCAGCAAUGCCGCGUGCAGGAAGAAGGCCUUCGGGUUGUAAACUGCUUUUGUCAGGGAAGAAAUCCCCUGGGUUAAUACCUCGGGGGGAUGACGGUACCUGAAGAAUAAGCACCGGCUAACUACGUGCCAGCAGCCGCGGUAAUACGUAGGGUGCGAGCGUUAAUCGGAAUUACUGGGCGUAAAGCGUGCGCAGGCGGCUUUGCAAGACAGAUGUGAAAUCCCCGGGCUUAACCUGGGAACUGCAUUUGUGACUGCAAGGCUAGAGUACGGUAGAGGGGGAUGGAAUUCCGCGUGUAGCAGUGAAAUGCGUAGAUAUGCGGAGGAACACCGAUGGCGAAGGCAAUCCCCUGGACCUGUACUGACGCUCAUGCACGAAAGCGUGGGGAGCAAACAGG